GAUGAACGCUGGCGGCGUGCUUAACACAUGCAAGUCGAACGGAAAGGCCGAAGCUUGCUUCGUUACUCGAGUGGCGAACGGGUGAGUAACACGUGGGUGAUACGCCCCGUACUUCGGGAUAAGACUUGGAAACAGGGUCUAAUAUCGGAUAUGACGUACUCUUGGAUGGGGUUCUGUAAAGCUUUUGGGGUUUGGGAUGAGGUCGCGGCGUAUCCGCUCGUCGGUGGGGUAAUGGCCUACCGAGGCGUUGACGGGUAGCCGGCCUGAGAGAGUGUAGGGCCGCAUUGGGACUCUGCGGCGGGCCAGACUCCGACGGCAGGCAGCAGUGGGGAAUAUCGGACGAUGGGCGCAAGCCUGAUGCAGCGACGCCUCGGGAGCGAUGACGGCCUUUGGGUUGUAAGCUCCUUUCGCUAACGACGUAGCCUUGUGGUGACGGUAGGUUGUGAAAAAGCACCGGCUAACUACGUG
rnacentral:rRNA from 1 species